rnacentral:lncRNA from 1 species
GCUUUGCACAAAUCCCUCCCCUCAUGAAAAAAAAUGAAAAUAUCCCCUCUGGCAUUUUCUGAGGAAAACAUUUUAGUUCCUCCGUUAUAAAUGUUCUGUGUAAAUGUUUAAUUUAGCUUAGUUUAGAACAAAUGCCUUAAAAAUAUAUCAAGAUUGAAACAAAAGGUUGUUUGGGGUCAACCCAGCAUGUUUUCUUUGUUUUGUUUUGUUUUUCUUUUAAUCUCAUCAAAAAAUAAAAUGAAAAUAUAUUUUUUUCAGGUGGAGCCACAUCACAUUAAAAAAUGUCCUUAAUUCUCUACUGGAACUGCAGGUGAACUAAAAGUCUGUUACCCACUGACUUUGCGUGCAAAGCGGUCUCGCAAUUAGUUCAGAUGACACAGCAAAGAGGUAAUGUCUCUGGAAUGACAUUUGCAGUGAAUAAAAGGCUUUUAAGCUGAUGUUAGAAGCGUGAAAUGUCAGCUGGCUGCCGCUGGGGCAGGGACACCAGGCAACUUCACAAGCUGCUUUCUGUCGUCUCUGCCAGAGAGGACGUUUCAGCAGGUUUGGAAGUGAACAAACAAGACUUCCAUGACACCAUAGCAAGGGAUUUGUGACGUUGCUGAGAAGUGCAGCCAUUGCCACUAGGCUGGACUGGCUGGGGUGGCCUCUGCAGGAGCAUCAGGGCAGAGACAGCAGCUGGGGUACGUGGCUCCUCUCAUGAAAGCCAGUCUGGAGAUGCAUGUGCCCUGCCAGCCCUUCCCGAUGAAGUGCAAAAGGGGAUAAGAGAGUGUUCAAAUGCAAGUCUGCCCUCUGGACAUCCAUGGCAAGGGAGCAAAGCCACUGAAACAGAGGAGUUCUGGUGAAAGCCAGCUACUUUGCCGCACGACAGCAGCUUUACACAUCCAUUUGGUGAGAGGAGAAUGCUGCCUCGGGAGGCCAUAAAGGAGCAUGUAGCCUUCCCAGGAUUUGUUGCAUGUGUUCGAGGUUGCGGGGCUGCUAAUUUUAAAAGGAGCAGUUACUAGCUGAAGCUAGCUCCUGCUGCCAGCAUCACCUUGCAAAACAAUUGUGAGUGUGUUAUUAGGGAGCGUUAGGAGCGGGAGCACAUAUGGAUGUCAGUGGGGUUGGGGCCCACUUGCAGGGGGAUGCACAGGGCUGCAGGUCUGGGGGCGGGAUGAAGGAGUGAGACACAUGGGGGAUGGUGGGGGGAGGUAGCUGGAACAGGGGGUUUGGGGGGAAUUAAAUGAACUGGGAGCCAGUUUCAGAGUGGUUGGAUUGGUUUCCAGAAUUGUGUUGAAUAUGAUAAGCAGUUGGGAAGAAAAACAACAGGGUGGGAUUUUAAAACACCAGACCCUUUCCCCUGGAUAGCUGCAAACCAAAGGGUUUUGGCUUUUCAUUUUGAAAGGACAUUUUUCAUUUAGAAACAGGCAUGAUAAAAAGCCAUGUUUACAAGAGUUAAAGAUCAUGAAAACAGAAGAACCCCCUGAAUUUUAGUUGUAGCGAAAAUGAUAUUUUUAUGAUAAUUUUUUCUUUUGGUUUCAGUCUACCCCUGCGGCUCCCCCCAUCC